UACAGAGGAGCCAAGCGUUGUCCGGAUUGACUGGGCGUAAAGCGCACGCAGGCGGUCGCGCGCGUGGGGUGUGAAAUCUGGCCGCUUAACGGCCAGGCGCCAUCCCAUACGGCGCGACUGGAGUGAUGCAGAGGUCGAUGGAAUUGCCGGUGUAGUGGUGAAAUGCGUAGAGAUCGGCAGGAACACCCAGGGGGGAAACCAGUCGACUGGGCAUCGUAUUGACGCUGAGGUGCGAGAGCGUGGG
rnacentral:rRNA from 1 species